UAACAAAUUUUUAAGAGCAAACGGUGAAUGCCUUGGCAUGUAGAGCCGAAGAAGGACGUAGUAAUCUGCGAUAAGCCUCGGGGAGUUGAUAAACGAACUGUGAUCCGAGGAUGUCCGAAUGGGGAAACCCCGCCAGGCCCGUGAGGUGACCUGGUGACUCCCGCCUGAAUAUAUAGGGCGGGUAGAGGGAACGUGGGGAAGUGAAACAUCUCAGUACCCACAGGAAGAGAAAACAACAGUGAUUCCGUUAGUAGUGGCGAGCGAACCCGGAUGAGGCUAAACCGAUCAUGUGUGAUAGCCGGUAGGCGUUGCAUGGUCGGGGUUGCGGGACUUUUCUACUAAUUCUACCGAAUGGUAAGGGUUAGAGCGUUGUAUAGACGAACAGGAUUGAAAGCC
rnacentral:rRNA from 1 species